UUCAAUAAAAGUUUGUUGUUCGGGAC
rnacentral:piRNA from 1 species